GUAGAUAUAGUUUAAAUAAAAUACUAGAUUGUGAAUCUAGACAUAGAGACUAACAACUCUUAUCUACC
rnacentral:tRNA from 1 species